AUGGCGGCCACGCAUCCCGCUGACGGAAUGGUGGCCGCGCCGGAGCGCGGGGCCACGGACACAUUUGCCGCCUGGAUCGCUCAGGAGUAUCUGCUUUGUGGAUCAGUAAGAGAAAUAAAGCUGUGUUUACUUCAAACCAUGAUCUUCUCAUCAGCUCUAUUACUGCUGACAGCAGCUGCAUCCUGUGGUGUCUUCUGUGUUGAGCUCACUCAACCUCCAUCUCUGGUUGUGAAACCUCAAGAAUCAUUCUCCAUCUCCUGCAGGAUUUCACAAUCAAGCUACUGCAUUAACUGGAUCCGUCAACCUGCUGGAAAAGCACCGGAAUGGCUCGGAUAUCUUUGUAAUGAUGACAGGACUAACAUUAAAGACUCAGUGAAAAACAAGAUCAGUUUCACUCAGGACACGUCCAAAAACACAGUGUUUCUACAGGGAAAUAAUUUCCAGACUGAGGACACAGCUGUGUAUUACUGUGCAACAUUCACAGUGACUAAACAAGCCACAGCUCUGCACAAAAACCUGAACACAUGA